rnacentral:rRNA from 1 species
AUUGAACGCUGGCGGCAUGCCUUACACAUGCAAGUUGAACGGCAGCAUGAUCUAGCUUGCUAGAUUGAUGGCGAGUGGCGAACGGGUGAGUAAUACAUCGGAACGUGCCCUGUAGUGGGGGAUAACUAGUCGAAAGAUUAGCUAAUACCGCAUACGACCUGAGGGUGAAAGUGGGGGACCGCAAGGCCUCAUGCUAUAGGAGCGGCCGAGGUCUGAUUAGCUAGUUGGUGAGGUAAAGGCUCACCAAGGCGACGAUCAGUAGCUGGUCUGAGAGGACGAUCAGCCACACUGGGACUGAGACACGGCCCAGACUCCUACGGGAGGCAGCAGUGGGGAAUUUUGGACAAUGGGGGCAACCCUGAUCCAGCAAUGCCGCGUGUGUGAAGAAGGCCUUCGGGUUGUAAAGCACUUUUGUCCGGAAAGAAAUCGCACUUACUAAUAUUAGGUGUGGAUGACGGUACCGGAAGAAUAAGGACCGGCUAACUACGUGCCAGCCGCCGCAGUAAGAC